rnacentral:rRNA from 1 species
CGGUCUGGAAAGUCCGACGGUACAGGGUGAUAGUCCCGUACACGAAAGCACACAUGCUGUGAACUCGAAGAGUAGGGCGGGACACGUGGUAUCCUGUCUGAAUAUGGGGGGACCAUCCUCCAAGGCUAAAUACUCCUGACUGACCGAUAGUGAACCAGUACCGUGAGGGAAAGGCGAAAAGAACCCCGGCGAGGGGAGUGAAAAAGAACCUGAAACCGUGUACGUACAAGCAGUGGGAGCCUCUUUAUGGGGUGACUGCGUACCUUUUGUAUAAUGGGUCAGCGACUUAUAUUCUGUAGCAAGGUUAACCGUAUAGGGGAGCCGAAGGGAAACCGAGUCUUAACUGGGCGUUAAGUUGCAGGGUAUAGACCCGAAACCCGGUGAUCUAGCCAUGGGCAGGUUGAAGGUUGGGUAACACUAACUGGAGGACCGAACCGACUAAUGUUGAAAAAUUAGCGGAUGACCUGUGGCUGGGGGUGAAAGGCCAAUCAAACCGGGAGAUAGCUGGUUCUCCCCGAAAGCU